rnacentral:rRNA from 1 species
GAUGAACGCUAGCGGCAGGCUUAACACAUGCAAGUCGAGGGGUCUGCUUCGGCAGACGACCGGCGCACGGGUGAGUAACGCGUAUCCAACCUGCCCUUCUCAUUGGGAUAGCCUUUCGAAAGAGAGAUUAAUACCGAAUAACAUAGUAAAGUUGCAUGAUCUUACUAUGAAAGCUCCGGCGGAGAAGGAUGGGGAUGCGUUCCAUUAGGUAGUAGGCGGGGUAACAGCCCACCUAGCCGACGAUGGAUAGGGGUUCUGAGAGGAAGGUCCCCCACACUGGAACUGAGACACGGUCCAGACUCCUACGGGAGGCAGCAGUGAGGAAUAUUGGUCAAUGGUCGGAAGACUGAACCAGCCAAGUAGCGUGAAGGAUGAAGGUUCUAUGGAUUGUAAACUUCUUUUAUACGGGAAUAAAACCUCCCACGUGUGGGAGCUUGUAUGUACCGUAUGAAUAAGCAUCGGCUAACUCCGUG